AACCUGCUAUUUGUUAUUUCUUUUUAAAACACAAACAAACUGAAUUUUCAUUUUGUUUACAGGACAGUGGAACAGGAGAUAACAGCUGCAUUGAAGAAAUAUUGCGGGAGAUGACCCAUUCAUGGCCUCCACCACUGUCAGCUAUUCACACACCAGGGAAGGCAGAGCAAAGCAAGUUUCCCUUUCCAAACAAGGAGUCACAACAGGGAUCUACAGGACACAGCAAUACAAG